AGCGAACGCUGGCGGCAGGCCUAACACAUGCAAGUCGAACGAAUUCUUCGGACUUAGUGGCGGACGGGUGAGUAACACGUGGGAACGUGCCUUUAGGUUCGGAAUAACUCAGGGAAACUUGUGCUAAUACCGAAUGUGCCCUUCGGGGGAAAGAUUUAUCGCCUUUAGAGCGGCCCUCGUCUGAUUAGCUAGUUGGUGAGGUAAAGGCUCACCAAGGCUACGAUCAGUAGCUGGUCUGAGAGGAUGACCAGUCACAUUGGGACUGAGACACGGCCCAAACUCCUACGGGAGGGAGCAGUGGGGAAUCUUGCGCAAUGGGCGAAAGCCUGACGCAGCCAUGCCGCGUGGAUGAUGAAGGUCUUAGGAUUGUAAAAUCCUUUCACCGGUGAAGAUAAUGACUGUAGCCGGAGAAGAAGCCCCGGCUAACUUCGUGCCAGCAGCCGCCGUAAGAC
rnacentral:rRNA from 1 species